rnacentral:rRNA from 1 species
UAGCCGUAAACGAUACUCGCUAGGUGUCGGCCACGGUGCGACCGUUGUCGGUGCCGUAGGGAAGCCGUGAGGCGAGCCACCUGGGAAGUACGGCCGCAAGGCUGAAACUUAAAGGAAUUGGCGGGGGAGCACAACAACGGGUGGAGCUUGCGGUUUAAUUGGAUUCAACGCCGGAAAUCUUACCGGGACCGACAGCAACAUGAAGGCCAAGCUGAAGACUUUGCCGGAUUAGCUGAGAGGUGGUGCAUGGCGUAGACGUCU